CACGUAGGGGGCAAGCGUUGUCCGGAUUUAUUGGGCGUAAAGAGCUCGUAGGUGGUUCGGUAAGUCGGGUGUUAAACCCCCAGGCUCAACCUGGGGACGCCACUCGAUACUGCUGUGACUAGAGUCCGGUAGGGGAGCGUGGAAUUCCUGGUGUAGCGGUGAAAUGCGCAGAUAUCAGGAGGAACACCGGUGGCGAAGGCGGGUCUCUGGGCAGUAACUGACGCUGAGGAGCGAAAGCGUGGGGAGCGAACAGG
rnacentral:rRNA from 1 species